rnacentral:rRNA from 1 species
GUUUACGGCCAUACCAGCCUGAAUACGCCGGAUCUUGUCUGAUCUCGGAAGCUAAGCAGGGUCGGGCCUGGUUAGUACUUGGAUGGGAGACCGCCUGGGAAUACCAGGUGCUGUAAGCU